rnacentral:rRNA from 1 species
CAGUAGCCGCGGGAAUACGUAGGGUGCAAGCGUUAAUCGGAAUUACUGGGCGUAAAGCGUGCGCAGGCGGUUCUAUAAGACAGAUGUGAAAUCCCCGGGCUCAACCUGGGAACUGCAUUCGUGACUGUAGAGCUGGAGUGCGGCAGAGGGGGAUGGAAUUCCGCGUGUAGCAGUGAAAUGCGUAGAUAUGCGGAGGAACACCGAUGGCGAAGGCAAUCCCCUGGGCCUGCACUGACGCUCAUGCACGAAAGCGUGGGGAGCAAACAGGAUUAGAUACCCGAGUAGUCCCUGUCUCUUAUAC